rnacentral:rRNA from 1 species
CGUAAGGCGCCGAAUGAGUCAUUAAAAAUUAACAUCAUCCGAUCCCUAGUCGGCAUAGUUUAUGGUUAAGACUACGACGGUAUCUGAUCGUCUUCGAUCCCCUAACUUUCGUUCUUGAUUAAUGAAAACAUCCUUGGCAAAUGCUUUUCGCAGUAGUUAGUCUUCAAUAAAUCCAAGAAUUUCACCUCUGACAAUUGAAUACUAAUGCCCCCAACUAUCCCUAUUAAUCAUUACGUCGAUCCUAGAAACCAACAAAAUAGGAUCAAACGUCCUAUUUCAUUAUCCAUGCUAAUGUAUUCAAGUCUUUGCUUG